CUAAUAAAGUUUCCAACAGCAUCAAACUACCAGGUUUACACCCCAUCUGAAAAAUGCAGGCCGUUCAGUUUUUAAACUAAAAAGAAAAAUCGACUUGUUGAUGGAAAUCUAUGCCGACGAUGAAGAUUUGGUAAACCCACAUUCUGAACGGCGCCCUGGAAUGUCAAGGCUGCUGAGCCGCUUAAUCAGAAAUCAAAGCGGCGGCUGGCGAGUCGGACUGCAGGAAGUACACUUCCAAAGCUCGGGUCAGGAAAUUUGUUCCCCCCCCCCCUCAUCUCAGAGCCCACAAAAACAUUUCUGAAUUCCCUUUUUGAGCAGAAAUUUUCAAAAUAAAAGAUUUGAAAUGUAUCCCAAACCAGAAAAGUGGACGUGAAUCAUCAGUGAACGUUUGUGACUUACUUCAACUGACUUUAGCCUCUAAAAGCAUCUGUAGACUUGUCUCAUCAGGUCGCAAGUUAGCUCACCAGUUAUGGGAACGUCCACGAUGUUUGACUAAAACAGAGGAGGCGACGACCCUGAGAGACAGAAACAAGUCCAGCUGCACAAAAAGGCAACAUCUGUUUCAGCUCCGACUAUUUACACCAACACAUAUGUAAGUGUUGCUCCACGUGCGUCUGGAGGUAGCAACCGGGGUUACAAAAAGAAAAAAAAAAAUCCAGAUGAGUGAUGCCCCAACAACCUGCCAACAUACCUUUCCUCUGCCGGCACCAUCAGCUCGUUAAGUCGAGUUUCUCGCAGCUCAUAAGACGGCGAGAACGUUUAAAUGCUAGCAAAACCAUUUCGACGUUAGCUAGCAAAAAAAUACUUCUUUGGGAUGGGAUACAGACCUUUUAGGCUAAGAAAACUUAAAAAAAUAAUAUAAAAAAUGACAGUUUAUUGUAGACAGACAAACAUCUCACCUCCGUGUUUAAACCAACAUACCAGGACACGUUAGUCACCAAAGAGAAUCGGAUGUAGUUCGGAAAU